rnacentral:lncRNA from 9 species
CUUUAACAGGUGUUUAUUUAGCACCCGCUCUGCAUGAGGCACUGUGUUGGUGCCGUGAAGAACAUGCAGGUGGACGAGGCGUGGCUCCUGUCCUCUGCAGGCUCACUGUCCAGCAUGGGAACUUGGUCAUGGACACAAGUGACCGUCACACCAAGGCAGAAAACAAAUAAUGCUACAAGAUCGGCCUCCACCAGGUAUUAAGAGAAUCCAGAGGAAGAAAAUAUUACUCUGAGAUGAGAAUAAGAGAUUACAGAAGGUGCCCUAGAGAACGUGACAGGUCAGAUGUGGAUGGGAGAAAAUGAAAGGAAAAAGCAAUCCAGGAUGACCGCACGCAGAGGCAGAGGCAGAGGCCCGCCUACCACUGCUGAUGGAGGUGGUCGGGCCAGGACUCGUCGUGUGGGUCCAGGGCUGGGGAAAGACACCAGCGGGUAUGAUAUGCUCGGCUCCGUGGAGGAUGCAUCCAUCUGUAGCAAAGCUGUAAAAGGAGGGGCUUUGAUCGGAACUGUUUUAUGAAGCGUAAUCUGAGGGUGACAGAGUGACUUUGGGGAAAGAGGCCGGCUUAAAAAUGAUUACAAGAGUCUGCACAAGCAUAACAGGCAGUGACCAGGAGAAUGAGAUGUUCCAGGUGGGAGGUGGAGACAGAAUUGAGAAGAUUCAGUGACAACUGACCGUGGGAAAGGGUGUGAGAUGUGGGAAAGACGACGGCACUUUUGUACCAAGACGACCAUCCACAGAGCCAGGUCAGUCCAGCGGCGGGAAGGGCUGCAUUUGGGAAGAGACGGGGGAGGGGCCUGGAUGCUGGCGGGCAUCCGGGGGUCCGAGGGCGGUCACAAGUUGGAAGGAGAGUUCAGGUAGAGAUGGGGUCCCCGCAGGGACGACAGCGGACGUGGUGGGACAGGGCCCACGCAGAGGGUCCCAGGUACAGCCCGGUGCCACGUUUUCUUUCUCACAGGAAAUUCCCAGGUACAAGGAUGCCUCCCAUGGAAGACCUGUUUCUCGCUGUGUUCUCCAACAAGUCCUCAUUCUGGGGAUUCCGAGCAGGAAAUCUGCCUCCACUGCGAAGGGUCAUUCUGAAAAGAUUUACUCCGAUGAGAGGUUUUUCCUUUUUUGAAUAUGAUCAUAACUUUAAUUCAACCUGGCUUUUUGGUUUGUUUUCAUUUUUUUGGCCAGGCCAGGGGUCAGAUCUGAGCCACAGUUGCACCUACACCACAACUGUAGCAAC